GACGAACGCUGGCGGCGUGCUUAACACAUGCAAGUCGAACGGAAAGGCCCUGCUUUUGUGGGGUGCUCGAGUGGCGAACGGGUGAGUAACACGUGAGUAAUCUGCCCUUGACUUUGGGGUAACUUCAGGAAACUGGGGCUAAUACCGGAUAGGAGCUCCUGCUGCAUGGUGGGGGUUGGAAAGUUUCGGCGGUUGGGGAUGGACUCGCGGCUUAUCAGCUUGUUGGUGGGGUAGUGGCUUACCAAGGCUUUGACGGGUAGCCGGCCUGAGAGGGUGACCGGCCACAUUGGGACUGAGAUACGGCCCAGACUCCUACGGGAGGCAGCAGUGGGGAAUAUUGCACAAUGGGCGGAAGCCUGAUGCAGCAACGCCGCGUGCGGGAUGACGGCCUUCGGGUUGUAAACCGCUUUCGCCUGUGACGAAGCGUGAGUGACGGUAAUGGGUAAAGAAGCACCGGCUAACUACGUG
rnacentral:rRNA from 1 species